rnacentral:rRNA from 1 species
UACGUAGGGUGCAAGCGUUGCCCGGAUUUAUUGGGCGUAAAGGGCGCGUAGGCGGCUCGGCACGUCCGUUGUGAAAUCGCCCGGCUCAACUGGGCGGGGUCAGCGGAUACGGUCGAGCUUGAGCAAGCUAGGGGGCAAUGGAAUUCCCGGUGUAGUGGUGGAAUGCGUAGAUAUCGGGAGGAACACCAGUGGCGAAGGCAGCUCGCUGGAACGGUACUGACGCUGAGGCGCGAAAGCGUGGGGAGCGAACAGG